rnacentral:misc_RNA from 1 species
UUUGAGGAUUCUUGGCCCUGUCUUUUCCCACUCCUCCAAUAUUCUAGGUAAAGAUGCAACUUUUGUUUCAAAUUUGAUCGUGUAGAAUGCAUUUGACUUUUGCUGGGAAUUAUCGAUGAUUUAUUCAUUUGUGUUGUGAAUUGUGAUGAAAUAUAGAGUUAUGGUUUGAGAUAAGUCUGUUUAGGCAACAUAAUGAUGGAAGUCAGGGUACUGCAGUUUUGAAAUAUGUUGGUACUUGAUAAACUAACCCUAUGUUUGAAUCCUUAAUUGUGCAUGGGAAUUGCAGAGAAAUUAAGCAAGAA